GAUGAACGCUAGCGGCAGGCCUAAUACAUGCAAGUCGAACGGUGUCUUCGGACAUAGUGGCGCACGGGUGCGUAACACGUAUGCAACCUACCUUACAUUGGGGGAUAGCCUUUCGAAAGGGAGAUUAAUACCGCAUAAGACAGUAGCUGGGCAUCCAGCAGCUGUUAAAGAUUUAUCGAUGUAAGCUGGGCAUGCGUCCAAUUAGCUAGUUGGUGAGGUAACGGCUCACCAAGGCAAUGAUUGGUAGGGGAACUGAGAGGUCAAUCCCCCACACUGGCACUGGGAUACGGGCCAGACUCCGACGGGAGGCAGCAGUAGGGAAUAUUGGGCAAUGGACACAAGUCUGACCCAGCCAUGCCGCGUGCAGGAUGAAGGCGUUAUGCGUUGUAAACUGCUUUUAUACAGGAAGAAACGACUCUUGCGAGAGGCAUUGACGGUACUGUAUGAAUAAGCACCGGCUAACUCCGUGCCAGCAGCCGCGGUAAGAC
rnacentral:rRNA from 1 species